UACUAGACCCGAUUGCAGUGUGCACGAAGCCACAGCUUUUUCUGCUGUGAGCGGAGUAAGCGGAAAGCGGGUGCAAAC
rnacentral:sRNA from 1 species